rnacentral:misc_RNA from 1 species
CUGUUCGAGCGUCAUUUCAACCCUCAAGCCCAGCUUGGUCUUGGACGCGGUCCCGGGACCCGUCCGCAACCCGUUGGCGGCACCGUCCGGCUUCAAGCGUAGCAGAAACCUCGCUUCAGGAGCUCGCGACAGCGCCUGCCGGAGGAACCACACCUUUAAAGUUUGACCUCGGAUCAGGUAGGGAUACCCGCUGAACUUAA